AUGGCUCAGAAUCAACGCUGGCGGCGUGCCUCAGACAUGCAAGUCGAACGAUUAAAGCUCUCUUCGGAGAGUGUAUAGAGUGGCGCACGGGUGAGUAACACGUAAGUAAUCUACCCUCGAGUGGGGAAUAACAACCGGAAACGGUUGCUAAUACCGCAUAAUGCAGCGGCACCGCAAGGUGACAGUUGUUAAAGAUUUAUCGCUUGAGGAGGAGCUUGCGGCAGAUUAGCUAGUUGGUAGGGUAACGGCUUACCAAGGCUACGAUCUGUAACCGGUCUAAGAGGACGGUCGGUCACACUGACACUGAAUAACGGGUCAGACUCCUACGGGAGGCAGCAGUCGGGAAUUUUGGGCAAUGGGCGAAAGCCUGACCCAGCAACGCCGCGUGAAGGAUGAAGUAUUUCGGUAUGUAAACUUCGAAAGAAUAGGAAGAAUUAAUGACGGUACUAUUUAUAAGGUCCGGCUAACUACGUG
rnacentral:rRNA from 1 species